GAUACCUCUCUGACCCCUUUAUUGGAGGAGUUGGUGAACAGCAGGAUGGAUGGGAUGUCAGUCAGCUGUGCCCCUGGCUACCCCUGUGCUUGAACAGUGGACUGUGAGUGGCGGCGUCAUGCAGAAGGAGCACAGGGUCCCAGGCCAGCAUCACUAUCCAGGAGCUUCAGGCAUGCUCCGUGUACCAACAUGGGAUCACGAAUCACAUCGCCUCAGGCCAAGAAAGCCAUUUUAUAGCGAAAGAGCCUUAGGAUCUGCUGGAUUAGAGCCUGUUUCCCAGGUAGGAACGCUUCCACGAGGGCACUCCUGCUGGUUGCAGGAAGGAUACCUCUGCUGAGCCUGAAUCUGCAAAGACCACCAGGUUACUCUCAGCUCCUCAUACUGGUGGACCAGCAGGCCACAAAGGAGGGGAUACUUGAUCCUGAUAAAC
rnacentral:lncRNA from 1 species